UACGGAGGGUGCAAGCGUUGUCCGGAUUUAUUGGGUUUAAAGGGUGCGUAGGCGGCCCGUUAAGUCAGCGGUGAAAUCCCGGGGCUCAACCCCGGAACUGCCGUUGAUACUGGCGGGCUUGAGUUCGGUCGAGGCGGGCGGAACUGGUGGUGUAGCGGUGAAAUGCUUAGAUACCCUCAAGAACACCGAUUGCGUAGGCAGCUAACUAGGCCAUAACUGACGCUGAGGCACGAAAGCGUGGGGAGCGAACAGG
rnacentral:rRNA from 1 species